rnacentral:rRNA from 1 species
UACAGAGGUCCCAAGCGUUGUUCGGAUUCAUUGGGCGUAAAGGGUGCGUAGGUGGCGCCGUAAGUCGGGUGUGAAAUUUCGGAGCUUAACUCCGAAACUGCAUUCGAUACUGUGGUGCUCGAGGACUGGAGAGGAGACUGGAAUUCAUGGUGUAACAGUGAAAUGCGUAGAGAUCAUGAGGAAGACCAGUGGCGAAGGCGGGUCUCUGGACAGUUCCUGACACUGAGGCACGAAGGCCAGGGGAGCAAACGGG